rnacentral:tRNA from 1 species
GGGGCUGUAGCUCAGUGGCAGAGUACUUGUCUAGUGAGUAUGAGGCCCUGGGUUCAAUCCCCAGCACCACCA